rnacentral:rRNA from 1 species
AUUGAACGCUGGCGGCAGGCCUAACACAUGCAAGUCGAACGGAAACAGGAAACAGCUUGCUGUUUCGCGGACGAGUGGCGGGCGUGUGAGUAAUGUCUGUGACACUGCCUGAUGGAGGGGGAUACCUACUGGAAACGGUAGCUAAUACCGCAUAACGUCGCAAGACCAAAGAGGGUGAGCUUCGGGCCUCUUGCCAUCGGCUGUGCCCAGAUGGGAUUAGCUAGUAGGUGGGGUAACGGCUUACCUAGGCGACGAUCCGUAGCUGGUCUGAGAGGAUGAUCAGCCACACUGGAACUGAGACACGGUCCAGACUCCUACGGGAGGCAGCAGUGGGGAAUAUUGCGCAAUGGGCGAAAGCCUGAUGCAGCCAUGCCGCGUGUAUGAAGAAGGCCUUCGGAUUGUAAAGUUCUUUCAGCGGGGAGGAAGGGAGUAAAGUUAAUACCUUUACUUAUUGACGUUACCCGCAGAAGAAGCACCGGCUAACUACGUG